rnacentral:rRNA from 1 species
UACGGGGGGGGCAAGCGUUGUUCGGAAUUACUGGGCGUAAAGGGCUCGUAGGCGGCCAACUAAGUCGGAUGUGAAAUCCCCAGGCUUAACCUGGGAACUGCAUCCGAUACUGGAUGGCUUGAAUCCGGGAGAGGGAUGCAGAAUUCCAGGUGUAGCGGUGAAAUUCGUAGAUAUUCGCAAGAACACCAGUGGCGAAGGCGGCUCACUGGCCCGGUACUGACGCUGAGGUGCGAAAGCGUGGGGAGCAAACAGG